AGCGUAGCGACGUAUGUUUUGCACGAACAAGGCCCAGCCGUCGGCGGUUCGAUCCCGUCCCUGGCCACCA
rnacentral:tRNA from 1 species